GGAAGGGUGGCAGAGCGGUUUAAUGCACCGGUCUUGAAAACCGGAGAGGCGCAAGUCUCCGUGGGUUCAAAUCCCACCCCUUCCGCCA
rnacentral:tRNA from 1 species